rnacentral:rRNA from 1 species
AAGCUCGUAGUUGAAUUUCGGGAUUGACACAUCGGUCGUGCCCUAAGGGGUAUGAACUGGUGUAGUCAGUUUCUCACCUUCUGGAGAACCGCGAUGUCCUUAAUUGGGUGCCGCGAGAAACCAGGACCUUUACUUUGAAAAAAUUAGAGUGUUUAAAGCAGGCAUUUUGCUUGAAUACAUUAGCAUGGAAUAAUAAAAUAGGACGGAUGGUUCUAUUUUGUUGGUUUCUAGGAUCACCAUAAUGAUUAAUAGGGAUAGUUGGG